GAUGAACGCUGGCGGCGUGCCUAAUACAUGCAAGUCGAGCGAACAGACGAGGAGCUUGCUCCUUUGACGUUAGCGGCGGACGGGUGAGUAACACGUAGGUAACCUACCUAUAAGACUGGGAUAACUUCGGGAAACCGGAGCUAAUACCGGAUAAUAUUUCGAACCGCAUGGUUCGAUAGUGAAAGAUGGCUUUGCUAUCACUUAUAGAUGGACCUGCGCCGUAUUAGCUAGUUGGUAAGGUAACGGCUUACCAAGGCAACGAUACGUAGCCGACCUGAGAGGGUGGUCGGCCAGACUGGAACUGAGACACGGUCCAGACUCCUACGGGAGGCAGCAGUAGGGAAUCUUCCGCAAUGGGCGAAAGCCUGACGGAGCAACGCCGCGUGAGUGAUGAAGGUCUUCGGAUCGUAAAACUCUGUUAUUAGGGAAGAACAAACGUGUAAGUAACUGUGCACGUCUUGACGGUACCUAAUCAGAAAGCCACGGCUAACUACGUG
rnacentral:rRNA from 1 species